UACGUAGGGUGCGAGCGUUGUCCGGAAUUACUGGGCGUAAAGAGCUCGUAGGUGGUUUGUCGCGUUGUCCGUGAAAACUCACAACUCAAUUGUGGGCGUGCGGGCGAUACGGGCAGACUGGAGUACUGCAGGGGAGACUGGAAUUCCUGGUGUAGCGGUGGAAUGCGCAGAUAUCAGGAGGAACACCGGUGGCGAAGGCAGGUCUCUGGGCCACUACUGACGCUGAGAAGCGAAAGCAUGGGGAGCAAACAGG
rnacentral:rRNA from 1 species